CUUCCACCCAUCUCUGUCCCCUUGCCUCUUGUGUUUAUUCCUCAACCACGGCUGGAACUGGAUUUGGUGUGGAAGUCAUGGAGCUCGCCAAGAAGGUUCACUCCUUGCCGAAGACUUCCAAGUAGUUUUGCUCGUCGACAAGCACAUAUCAAGUUCACGCCCAUCAUCAUCAUUUCAUGUCUCCAGGUUUCCCUCCUCCAUGACUCUUAACUUUAUUUCUCCCAUGUAGGCUCUGCGAGGUUGUUGUUGGCUGCUCGGUUCUUGGUUGUGCUUCUUCUUUACCCACCGAGGAAUCAAAGAAUGCUUUGGUGAAUCUCGUUGGUGGGAAAAACAUCUGUGUACAAGCAGGACCAAGACCAAUUUGGCCGAUACGUCUGUGACAUCUGUUGCGCCCGUGUGUUCAUCCAGGAGCAGAUGUUGAAGAAUGGUCAUGCAUGUCAUUUCAAGAAUUAUGAUUCAGGCCCAGAGUUUUCGGAAGUAAGAAAAUCUACUACAAAAAAAUACACUUGCAGAAUAUGUAGAAGACUUACCCUUUACCUUGUACAUGGCUCUUGCUUAUAGUAGUAAAAGGAGGUUGACAAAAGAAUAAAUAAAUCCAUCAGUCAUAACAUAUGUGCUAAUAUACAACACUAUACCUUGCCACCAAUUGCCAUGAGAACUCAAACACGUUCAAAGAUGGACGUAUAAAGGUACCUCCACAUCAUCAAUAUCAGAAAAAACUUUCUAGAUCAGCAUCCUCUUUACUGUUUUUACCUAAGGAUGACAAAUAGCAUUCAGAAGUUGAUCAGGAGCAAUCAACUUGACAAGAAUGAACCCAAAAAUGUCCAGGUAGACUGAACUGAAAUUACCAUUGCAUGCUCAGGUAACUAAUACACAUUCCAUGUCAGGAUCCUUUAAAGCUACAUGAAAAUGCAAGUAGAAUUGGGUGUAUCAGUGUAUUGUCUCUGCUUCUUUUGAGCAAUCUGUAAUGUGCAAAUAAAUGGAGUCAGAGUCCAUAGGCUGGAGUUUUGCACGCCUGAUCGAGAGGCGUUUGGCCAUUGCAGCAUUUACGAGAGUGUAAUUUUUUAUGUUUGGAGUUAUGUGAUGUAAGCCGCUAAAACGUCAAAAGGGCAGCCCCAGUGCAUGUAGCUCCCGCUUGCGCAGGGUCUGGGGAAGGGUCCGACCACUUUGGGUCUAUUGUACGCAGCCUUUCCCUACAUUUCUGUAAGAGGCUGUUUCCAGGACUUGAACCCGUGACCUCAAGGUCACAAGGCAGCAGCUUUACCACUGCGCCAAGGCUCAAACGUCAAUUCAAAUAAAUUUGUAUGCUGGACGUACGCAUCACAAUCCAUUGAGGUUAGUUGGCCUCCGGCCAUCACACGCCACCUUACUUGCAUGCCUUGAUCUGUAAUGUUCAGUUGUGCAGGCAAUUUCCUGCCAUUGCCUUAUUAUGACCAUUAUUUCCUAUGGAAGCAGUUGUUACAUUCCUGCCCAGUAUAUGAAUCCUUUUAUGUAUGACACCUCAAAACUUUUCGGUUAGUUUAUUUUGUUGUCUUGGAUUCACAACAUCUUUUUACAUGUACCAUCCUCUUAAAAUUGAAAUCCUUGUAGAAACUAAAGGAAGAUAGAUCAUAUAAUUAUGCUAGAUCGUACAUGUUGUUUAGCUCAGAUUUGUACGUGUACAUGCAUUGGCAUGGGUUUAGACAAAAAUAUGGCAUGAUUCUUUACAUAAAAAGCAGAUGCAUAAUCUAAGAAGAAAUGCUCGAGUAAAGUUAGUGAAGAUAUUGUAGGAGUAUCAUGGGCUUACAACUUCUUGGUAUCACUACUUGACUGUUUAUGAUUAUUUGUAAAUCUGGAAAGUCAUUUCGAGAACUGCUGACGAGUGUUGUUCUGAGUUUGUGUUAAAAGAGUUUUGGUUGCAUGUAUGUACAUUUCUAUAGUAGUGGUUCUCAUUUUAAUUUGUUCCGAGUCAGGGCUUUCAUUUUUUUUCUCAGAAUUUGGUUCUUGCUUUUUCAUGGUCGGUGUUAUGAAUGGAAAAACACACUUGGUAUUGGUAUCAAUCAAUUAUAAACAAAGUUGAGUUUAUUUGUAGUGGCCUCUCAUACAGUUUGCCUAUGUCAGUUGCGUAUAUGACCAAAAGUGUGUCACCUACCCAACUGGCUAUGGCCAGCAAAAUGAGCAAUGAGAUCAGCUUACUUUUAAUUACAAAAUAAGUAGAUGCUUGCUUGCGGGUUUAUUUAGAUUUACUUGCCAUUUUUCUCCGUAAUUCCAGUUGUGAUGCCGUCAACCUUUGCUGCCCUCUGCAACUGCGCCGGAUCUAUUUGUGGUUGCAAUGGUUGUUGUGGCAUGGAGAGUCAAUAAGAAUCAUAUGGUAGAUCCCACGGUCAUCACCUUCAGUUCUCUAUUUGUGUCUUGUGCUCUUCUCUUAUCCAAAUUCUUUAAGCCUAUAUACGCCUAGAUUAGUACCUGAUAUCAGCACCUUUAAUUAGCUUAUUCUCAGUCUUGGCUAUUUGGACUACUGUAGAACGACUCGGUUUUUCAAAGUUAGUAGGCUUAUAGACAUGUUUUUAUUUUAAUUUCUUCAGUUUUGUAUUUUUUCAGCUUUAGGUUGCUGCUGCAAGGUUUCAUGUAGGUUAUAGCAAUACAAACGAUAAUAUUAUGAGCAUAUAGCUAUACAAGUGACAAUUACAAGAGUAGUAAAUGAAUGAAUGCUUGAUCAUGUGGGUUAUAAUUUAAUCGAGUGCAGUCAGUUUAUUUAUCAUUCUAAAACAGUACCACUUACACCAAACAUCAGUAUAGUAUCAUGUUCACGUCAGAAUAUAAGAGAUUUAGGAACAGAGGAAGUAGAUGGUAAUUAUGGACAUCAGAGAGGAAUAUAUUUGAUCACAUAUAGUAUAUAGGGACUUUUGUAGAUGCAUGCUACCUGCACAAGCACAUCCCUAUAUGGAUAAAAUUCACUUUAUUAGAGUACUGACAUGAAUAGGAUAGUGCGGUGCAAGACGGUGCUGAUCAGCGGUGGUGGGCGAGGUGGCGAGAAGCGAUGACAUCGGAUGAUACAAUGGUCAGUAGAUAAAAGAUGUUCAUCUCCAUUGCCUAUCGGGGGCCUCUUUGGGGGGCUAAUCUAACAUUAGGCAGCACAGGAGGACAGACGGCUCUCACGGCUUAGGAUGUUGCACAUCAGGUGAACCAUUUGAUGGGCCGUUCAACAUGCUGAUCUUAUUGAUUUGUUCUUGACAUAUCCUCUGUGCUGCUAUAUUUUUUGAAUUACUUGGUUAUAUUAGCAAGUACUAAUGUUUUGUCACUUUUGAGCCACUGGUACUAUAUGUAAUUAGUAUGAACUAAAACUACUGCUUCUGCGUUCAUAUAAGCCUCUUAUUAUCUAUGAUGUCACUGUUUUUCCUUUUAA